CACGUAGGGCGCAAGCGUUGUCCGGAAUUAUUGGGCGUAAAGGGCGCGUAGGCGGUUCGUUAAGUCCUGUGUGAAAUCCCCCCGGCUCAACUGGGGAACUGCGCAGGAAACUAGCGGGCUUGAGUUCGGGAGAGGGAAGCGGAAUUCCGGGUGUAGCGGUGAAAUGCGUAGAUAUCCGGAGGAACACCGGUGGCGAAGGCGGCUUCCUGGACCGACACUGACGGCUGAGGCGCGAAAGCUAGGGGAGCAAACGGG
rnacentral:rRNA from 1 species